GACGAACGCUGGCGGCGUGCUUAACACAUGCAAGUCGAACGGAAAGGCCCUGCUUUUGUGGGGUGCUCGAGUGGCGAACGGGUGAGUAACACGUGAGUAACCUGCCCUUGACUUUGGGAUAACUUCAGGAAACUGGGGCUAAUACCGGAUAGGAGCUCCUGCUGCAUGGGGGGGGUUGGAAAGUUUCGGCGGUUGGGGAUGGACUCGCGGCUUAUCAGCUUGUUGGUGGGGUAGUGGCUUACCAAGGCUUUGACGGGUAGCCGGCCUGAGAGGGUGACCGGCCACAUUGGGACUGAGCUUCGGCCCAGACUCCUACGGGAUGCAGCAGUGGGGAAUAUUGCACAAUGGGCGGAAGCCUGAGGCAGCAACGCCGCGUGCGGGAUUACGGCCUUCGGGUUGUAGACCGCUUUCGCCUGUGACGAAGCGUGAGUGACGGUAAUGGGUAAAGAAGCACCGGCUAACUACGUG
rnacentral:rRNA from 1 species